rnacentral:rRNA from 1 species
AUACAACUUUCAGCAACGGAUCUCUUGGCUCUCGCAUCGAUGAAGAACGCAGCGAAAUGCGAUAAGUAAUGUGAAUUGCAGAAUUCAGUGAAUCAUCGAAUCUUUGAACGCACCUUGCGCUCCUUGGUAUUCCGAGGAGCAUGCCUGUUUGAGUGUCAUGAAGUUCUCAACUGC